rnacentral:rRNA from 1 species
AUUGAACGCUGGCGGCAGGCCUAACACAUGCAAGUCGAACGAGUGGCGGACGGGUGAGUAAUUUCUGGGAAACUGCCUGACGGAGGGGGAUAACUACUGGAAACGGUAGCUAAUACCGCAUACCAUCGGAUGUGCCCAGAUGGGAUUAGCGAGUAGGUGGGGUAAAGGCUCACCUAGGCGACGAUCCCUAGCUGGUCUGAGAGGAUGACCAGCCACACAGGAAAUGAGACACGGUCCAGACUCCUACGGGAGGCAGCAGUGGGGAAUAUUGGACAAUGGGCGAAAGCCUGAUGCAGCCAUGCCGCGUGUAUGAAGAAGGCCUUCGGGUUGUAAAGUACUUUCAGCGGGGAGGCGUUACCCGCAGAAGAAGCACCGGCUAACUCCGUGCCAGCAGCCGCGGUAAUUC